CGAAGAUAAUUGCGGAUGGCGUGCCAAUCGUCGGGAUAGUGCAGGGUGCGGCGCCAGCGCGCGUGGACGGCCAUGACCUUUGCCAGCAUGUCCGGCGUGACCGGCGGGAAGUGGUCGUUCAGUGCGCACAUGAAGCGACUGGUCAUGUGCAUUUCGUCGUCGUUCCAGGGCAGAAGCAGCUUGGGAAUGGUGAUUUGCAGCUGGUCUAUGAGCAGUUCAUGCGACUCCUUCGCGAGGGGCACCAUGCAGUCCCGCUCGUGCGCUGGCAGUAGAUGAGAGGCCAUGCCGUAAGGCUGAGCAAAGUAACCACCUUCUUCAAACACGUGGUACAGGUGUCGACCAAACAGACUGCCAACUGUCCAGCGGUGGAGCAGAAUGUAGUCGCAAGUCUCCUUGAAGUCCGCCAUAAUAGACCCCGCGCCGUGCUUUAAAAGGGAAUGGUCAUGCUCGAAAGCUACUGCCGGUUGGAUGUGAAUGUGGUCUUCCAGCACAAGACGCGCAAGAGGGUGAGACUGAUGGUGGCUGGGCUGAUGGAGCGGCUGAGGAGAGAGGCCGUUUUGAAGCAGUUGUCGGUGUCGGCCUGCAGGUGCCAGCAGCUUUCGAAGGAGAUGCUGACGUGCUCCUUCAUCCGGGGAUGGCUCAACAGCAACUGCCACAAGACGCACACCCUACAGUAGCACACACACUUUGUCAAUACCAACAAAAGCUGCAGCAACCACCUUCCAGACAAUAACCGGCUCAAAAGGUCACAAUGUAAAGGCGAGCGCUAAUGCCAUUACAUUUCACUACAGAACGCCCGCAAGGUCACAUCCUGCCGCUUUGACUUCUCCCGCUCUCCCAAAGACACCGUUGACCAGGCCAUUCCACACUAGUCCAUGUAUGGCUGGACAAAGGCGUGAUAAAGGGUGCCUUCCCAACACGGAAACAUUGCGGUGCCAUUUUCCAUAUUUAAGGACAACGGAAUUAUUUUCAAGCCACGCCGACACGCAUGCCCUUCCAUUGUUUAGAUGUUCUGCUGCGGCUGCUCUAGUUUUUCCGUAUGCGUACAAGAUGGGGCACACCGACAGUUUGCUGACCACCAUCCUGCUGACCGAAGACGUUUUGUUGACCGACACCAUGUUAACCUGAGGCACUGCCCUACUCAAGGGGCUUCACUGUAUUGUAUACAGUGAGUCUGUAUUGUAUGAAAUACAAUACAGCCCCUAGAGAACCGACGGUUUGUUGAAACGACAAAUUGCUUAACGACAAGUCGGUGAACAACCGUCUGCUGAACACCGACAAUUUGCUGCCGGCUUUUUGCAGACUUGAAAAACCCAAAAAACCUAAGAAUCCUAAGAAACAUAAGAAUCUUAAGAAACCUAAGAAAAAGCUCUAAUAACUUGAGGAAACUCGACGAUCAGCGUAUCGAACAGAACAGCAAGUUGUCGGUCAACAAAGCUGUUUCGGCAAAAAGUCGUUCGGCCUUUUCGGUGAAAAGCGAAAUGUCGCGCAACAACUUAUAGGUCAGCGAGCUGUGCCAUUCAGCAAGAUAUCGGUCAGCAAAUUGUAGGUCGAUGAAAUGACGUGCUACCACAAGAUGGUGUCAUCUACGAACAUUUCCAUUAAAAAAAAUGAUGAAGUGGGGAACCUUACAGCUUUUGAAUAUUUUCGAAAUUCGAAAAGGCGACUGUAACAUCAUGGAGAAUUUCGGCGAGUAUGCGACUGCAUGUCGGAUCGGAUAUGAUUCAGACACUGAUUCCCCAGUACAGCGAGCGAUGAAGGUCAUGUUUCCGGCGACGAAGAAUACUGUAUACAUCGGAUACCUAAGCAGGCGGUAUAGUAUCCGGCCAUGACGGCGACGUAGUGCCAGCAAAGGCCGCUCUCAAUAAAACAUGCUGAAGUUUUGCAGGUUAUCUAAUGGAAGACAUGAUUAUUUAGUCCCACUUCCACGGGUCGGCGGGAAAAUGUCAAACGCAUUGGCGCCCACCAUACUGACUUUUCCACUACGACCUGAAUCACUGCUUGAAGGGGCGUUCGAAAAGGCUGAGACAAACACUUCCUGUGCCAGUACUCCGGAACUGUAUCGGAAGUUGGGUAUUCCUCCCAUAUUCGACCGAUGGCGUCAGGGCGCGCGAUGCGGUGUGGCUGUUCAGGUUCUGGAACAAAGAUCAGUUUCCGCUUCCGGCCUACUCCUGGACAUGAUUCAAGUAAAAGAUAACACCACGCGCUAUAAUUUACGGAAGCCGGCCCGGAUCGAUGUUACGCGGGCAAAGAAAGCCAUCUUAGGGUGGACUAAGGAAAUGCGGCUGAAGCGUCUUCUUGAUAAAAUUCUUUAAAAUUCUCGAAGUACCUUCUUUCAAAUUUCUACUCAGAUCUGUUAAUCUCUCCUAAAUGUUUUCAUUAGCAGAAAAUUGUUUUUG